UAGGGAAUCUUCCACAAUGGACGCAAGUCUGAUGGAGCAACGCCGCGUGAGUGAGAAGGUUUUCGGAUCGUAAAGCUCUGUUGUUGGUGAAGAAGGAUAGAGGCAGUAACUGGUCUUUAUUUGACGGUAAUUAACCAGAAAGUCACGGCUAACUACGUGCCCG
rnacentral:rRNA from 1 species